rnacentral:rRNA from 1 species
AGCUCUCCGAGUGGUGUGGAUGUUUAUUGGGCCUAAAGCAUCCGUAGCUGGCCAAGUUAGUCCCUUGUUAAACCCACCGAAUUAAUCGUUGGCAUGCGGGGGAUACUGCUCGGCUAGGGGACGAGAGAGGCAGACGGUAUUUUCGGGGUAGGGGUGAAAUCCUAUAAUCCCGGGAAGACCACCAGUGGCGAAGGCUGUCUGCUAGAACGCGCCCGACGGUGAGGGAUGAAAGCUGGGGGAGCGAACC